AUUGAACGCUGGCGGCAUGCUUUACACAUGCAAGUCGAACGGCAGCACGGGCUUCGGCCUGGUGGCGAGUGGCGAACGGGUGAGUAAUGCAUCGGAACGUACCGUGUAAUGGGGGAUAACGUAGCGAAAGUUACGCUAAUACCGCAUACGAUCUAUGGAUGAAACGGGGGAUCGCAAGACCUCGCGCGAUUGGAGCGGCCGAUAUCAGAUUAGGUAGUUGGUGGGGUAAAGGCCCACCAAGCCAACGAUCUGUAGCUGGUCUGAGAGGACGACCAGCCACACUGGAACUGAGACACGGUCCAGACUCCUACGGGAGGCAGCAGUGGGGAAUUUUGGACAAUGGGCGCAAGCCUGAUCCAGCCAUGCCGCGUGAGUGAAGAAGGCCUUCGGGUUGUAAAGCUCUUUCGGCCGGGAAGAAAUCGCAUGGGUCAAUACCCUGUGUGGAUGACGGUACCGGAAUAAGAAGCACCGGCUAACUACGUG
rnacentral:rRNA from 1 species